rnacentral:rRNA from 1 species
GAGCGAGAAAGCGGGAGCAAUCCUGUGAGUACAGCGGCGUACGGGUGAGUAACACGUGGAUGAUCUACCUGAGAGUGGGGAAUAACUCUGGGAAACCGGAGCUAAUACCGCAUAAGCCUGAGAAGGGAAAGCUCGCAAGGGCGCUCUAAGAGGAGUCCGCGGCCGAUUAGCUAGUUGGUGAGGUAACGGCUCACCAAGGCGGGGAUCGGUAGCCGGCCUGAGAGGGCACACGGCCACACUGGCACUGAAACACGGGCCAGACUCCUACGGGAGGCAGCAGUGGGGAAUCUUGCACAAUGGAGGCAACUCUGAUGCAGCGACGCCGCGUGAGCGAUGAAGCCCUUCGGGGUGUAAAGCUCUUUCGGCAGGGACGAUCAUGACGGUACCUGCAGGAGAAGCUGCGGCUAACUACGUG